GUCGGGAAUUUUGGGCAAUGGGCGCAAGCCUGACCCAGCAACGCCGCGUGAAGGAUGAAAUCCCUCGGGAUGUAAACUUCGCAAGAAUGGGAAGAAUAAGUAGGGGAUAAUACCCUCUAUGAUGACGGUACCAUUUGUAAGCUCCGGCUAACUCCGUGCCAGCAGCCGCGGUAAUACGGGGGGAGCAAGCGUUGUUCGGAUUUACUGGGCGUAAAGGGCGCGUAGGCGGCCAGUGCAAGUCAGUUGUGAAAUCUCCGAGCUUAACUCGGAAAGGUCAACUGAUACUGCUCGGCUAGAGUGCGGAAGGGGCAACUGGAAUUCUUGGUGUAGCGGUGAAAUGCGUAGAUAUCAAGAGGAACACCUGCGGCGAAGGCGGGUUGCUGGGCCGACACUGACGCUGAUGCGCGAAAGCUAGGGGAGCGAACGGGAUUAGAAACCCCUGUAGUCC
rnacentral:rRNA from 1 species